rnacentral:rRNA from 1 species
UACGAAGGGGGCUAGCGUUGCUCGGAAUCACUGGGCGUAAAGCGCACGUAGGCGGAUUGUUAAGUCAGGGGUGAAAUCCUGGAGCUCAACUCCAGAACUGCCUUUGAUACUGGCGAUCUUGAGUCCGGGAGAGGUGAGUGGAACUGGCGAGUGUAGAGGUGAAAUUCGUAGAUAUUCGCAAGAACACCAGUGGCGAAGGCGGCUCACUGGGCCCGGUACUGACGCUGAGGUGCGAAAGCGUGGGGAGCGAACAGG